rnacentral:lncRNA from 1 species
UGGUAGGGGCUGCGCGAACGCAAACCCCCUCUGCCACAAAUAAUGACGUAGGCUCUUCCUCAUGGGAAGACCUUAAGCUAAGCACCCCUCCGUAAUGUGCAAUGGAGGUCACUAGCCUAGGCCACUCGUCUUCUUGAUCACGAGUUGACCCCGUCCAGGUAAGUAAUUUGCUGGUUCCAGGCAUAUCUCUCUUUAUACACUUGCAAUCCCAGUCAUUGUUUCUUGUCCAACCGAUGUGGGAUGUUAUUACUUACACACACCGCGCCGUUUGAAGCCUCUCGUUUACGACGACGUGCUGGUCUCUCACAAGCUUAAAACGGUAUGAGUUUUUUUUUUUUUGUCUUAAACACACAUCUACUAUGACAGUGGACACUCUAGGCCUAAUAGGCUGUUUUUUUUUUCUUUUUUACUUUGGCCCAAUAGGCUGUUAUAAACAAGAAUCUUUGAGCAUUUUGAAAUCAAAGAAUCAAAAUAUGAGUGUAUUUCAUGGGUCAAACAAGUUUUUACAGCAGUCGCCUCAAUGGCAAUUCUUUUACAAAACAGCCAAAAGAACAUAUCAAUGUCUUGCCAAAUGAGAUCACAAUGAGCACUGAGCACAGCAAAAAACUAAUACUAAUUGGCUAAAAUCCUGCAGAAACAACAAAACCGGUUGGUUCUCUACAUGUACAUGACUUGAGAUGAAGCCGGUAAUUUUUUCGUUGGG